rnacentral:misc_RNA from 1 species
UCUCCGUUGGAGAACCAGCGGAGGGAUCAUUACAGAGUUGCAAAACUCCCAAACCAUUGUGAACGUUACCUAUCCCGUUGCUUCGGCGGGCGGCCCGGGCCCCGCGCCCGGCGCCCCCCGGCCCCCCGUGGGCGCCCGCCGGAGGUAAACCAAACCCUUGAAUUGCAUGGCCUCUCUGAGUCUUCUGUACUGAAUAAGUCAAAACUUUCAACAACGGAUCUCUUGGUUCUG